AUUGAACGCUGGCGGCAUGCCUUACACAUGCAAGUCGAACGGUAACAGGUCUUCGGAUGCUGACGAGUGGCGAACGGGUGAGUAAUACAUCGGAACGUGCCCGAUCGUGGGGGAUAACGGAGCGAAAGCUUUGCUAAUACCGCAUACGAUCUACGGAUGAAAGCAGGGGACCGCAAGGCCUUGCGCGGACGGAGCGGCCGAUGGCAGAUUAGGUAGUUGGUAGGAUAAAAGCUUACCAAGCCGACGAUCUGUAGCUGGUCUGAGAGGACGACCAGCCACACUGGGACUGAGACACGGCCCAGACUCCUACGGGAGGCAGCAGUGGGGAAUUUUGGACAAUGGGCGCAAGCCUGAUCCAGCCAUGCCGCGUGCAGGAUGAAGGCCUUCGGGUUGUAAACUGCUUUUGUACGGAACGAAAAGACUCUGAUUAAUACCUGGGGUCCAUGACGGUACCGUAAGAAUAAGCACCGGCUAACUACGUGCCAGCCGCCGCCGUAAAAC
rnacentral:rRNA from 1 species